rnacentral:rRNA from 1 species
AGUCGAGCGAAUGGAUUGAGAGCUUGCUCUCAAGAAGUUAGCGGCGGACGGGUGAGUAACACGUGGGUAACCUGCCCAUAAGACUGGGAUAACUCCGGGAAACCGGGGCUAAUACCGGAUAACAUUUUGAACCGCAUGGUUCGAAAUUGAAAGGCGGCUUCGGCUGUCACUUAUGGAUGGACCCGCGUCGCAUUAGCUAGUUGGUGAGGUAACGGCUCACCAAGGCAACGAUGCGUAGCCGACCUGAGAGGGUGAUCGGCCACACUGGGACUGAGACACGGCCCAGACUCCUACGGGAGGCAGCAGUAGGGAAUCUUCCGCAAUGGACGAAAGUCUGACGGAGCAACGCCGCGUGAGUGAUGAAGGCUUUCGGGUCGUAAAACUCUGUUGUUAGGGAAGAACAAGUGCUAGUUGAAUAAGCUGGCACCUUGACGGUACCUAACCAGAAAGCCACGGCUAACUACGUGCCAGCAGCCGCGGUAAUACGUAGGUGGCAAGCGUUAUCCGGAAUUAUUGGGCGUAAAGCGCGCGCAGGUGGUUUCUUAAGUCUGAUGUGAAAGCCCACGGCUCAACCGUGGAGGGGUCAUUGGAAACUGGGAGACUUGAGUGCAGAAGAGGAAAGUGGAAUUCCAUGUGUAGCGGUGAAAUGCGUAGAGAUAUGGAGGAACACCAGUGGCGA